ensembl:lncRNA CDH18-AS1 CDH18 antisense RNA 1
UCGGCCGCUUCCGGUCCUGCGCUGCGGGCCUCAGAGGACUUGGUGCUCGGCAAACCCAGAGACUCAAACGCCAUGUCCGGGGGGUGGGGGGAGCGGCGGUAGGGGAGAUCCUCACGCUGUGUUCGGCAGCGAGGCGGCGAGACGCGCCGGUUCAGCCGGAGACCGCUGUGGGAACCGCGCCGAACACGCUUUGGGCGGCCAUUUUGUAACUCGAAUCUACCCCCAAAACCAAUUCGAAAAAAAGGGAGGAAAGAAACGCCCCGACAGUGUUCUGAACUGGGUUGAACACACAAAGGAUGCUACAAUUUUCCACUUGUAUACAGGUCCCUCCAAGACUUCGCUUCUCACCAUGAUUCUGACAUUGAUAUGAAAACACACAAGAUUUCACUUCUCACCAUGAUUCUGACACUGAUAUGAUCACUGA